UGCCCUUGGGAGGGGAACAACAACUGGAAACGGUUGCUAAUACCCCGUAGGCUGAGGAGCAAAAGGAGAAAUCCGCCCAAGGAGGGGCUCGCGUCUGAUUAGCUAGUUGGUGGGGUAAUGGCUCACCAAGGCGACGAUCAGUAGCUGGUCUGAGAGGAUGAUCAGCCACACUGGGACUGAGACACGGCCCAGACUCCUACGGGAGGCAGCAGUGGGGAAUAUUGGACAAUGGGCGCAAGCCUGAUCCAGCCAUGCCGCGUGAGUGAUGAAGGCCUUAGGGUUGUAAAGCUCUUUUGUCCGGGAUGAUAAUGACGGUACCGGAAGAAUAAGCCCCGGCUAACUUCGUGCCAGCAGCCGCGGUAAUACGAAGGGGGCUAGCGUUGCUCGGAAUCACUGGGCGUAAAGGGCGCGUAGGCGGGUCUUUAAGUCAGAGGGGAAAGCCUGGAGCUCAACUCCAGAACUGCCUUUGAUACUGAGGAUCUUGAGUUCGGGAGAGGUGAGUGGAACUGCGAGUGUAGAGGUGAAAUUCGUAGAUAUUCGCAAGAACACCGGUGGCGAAGGCGGCCAACUGGACCAUCACUGACGCUGAGGCGCGAAAGCGUGGGGAGCAAACAGGAUUAGAUACCCUGGUAGUCCAUGCUGUAAACGAUGUCGAUUUGAAGGUUGUAGUCUUGAACUGUAGCUUUCGGAGCUAACGUGUUAAAUCGACUGCCUGGGGAGUAUGGCCGCAAGGUUAAAACUCAAAUGAAUUGACGGGGGCCCGCACAAGUGGUGGAGCAUGUGGUUUAAUUCGAUGCAACGCGAAGAACCUUACCUUACUUCUUGACAUCCAAAGUACUUAGCAGAAAUGCUUCAUCCUAUUCAUCAUAAUUAUUGAUGCCAAUCAAUCAAAGGAUACAUUUCCACUAGCGAGUGACGCUCUUCUAAACUCAUGUUAUGUAGAUGAUAUUCUUUAUCGUUGUAAUAUCUAUAAAACUCU
rnacentral:rRNA from 1 species